UUGUAAUUUACUAUCACUUUUCCACAGAAAAGAUAGAGCAUGGACAGCAGUAGUGCUAGGUUCACCACACUGCCCUACCAAUGUCCCUCAGCCAUAACCUGGAUGGAACACUUCUAGGGGUGAGAGGCCCAUAAUGAUAAUACAUUGCACUUCUUCC
rnacentral:sRNA from 1 species